rnacentral:lncRNA from 1 species
AGGAAAUGAGAAUGGGUGAUAUGGGUCCCCGUGGAGCAAUAAACAUGGGAGAUGCAUUUAGCCCAGCACCUGCUGGUACCCAAGGGCCUCCUCCAAUGAUGGGUAUGAAUAUGAACAACAGAGGAACUAUACCUGGCCCACCAAUGGGUCCUGGUCCUGCCAUGGGACCAGAAGGAGCUGCAAAUAUGGGAACUCCAAUGAUACCAGAUAAUGGCGCAGUGGUUGUUACAACAUGAAUCUACUGAAGACCCUGGUCUGUUGGAGAAGAACUUAACAGCCCAGAAUGCUGGCCUUAGACUGCUGCAUUAGGUCCUUUGGGUCUCCUACUUUAGAAAGGAAGCUGCUGCUGCUGCUUACAAUUCUGGAUGCUCCAGUUCGGAUUGGCUCACUACACUUGCCAUAGGAAUAAAGAAUCAAUAAAUUUUCCGUUUUGAAAACAAAAUGGAGAAGCCCCUGGAACUUCCAUCCUGCCACCUGACCUGUUCUGCUGCUUCAGGGGUGGCACUGUGGACCAGCAGUGAUGGUUGUCCAAGACUGGAGAGCACAUGUGUGGGCAGGACACGCAGGGUUGAGUCAGAAUAUCCACUGUUACAAGGCCCUGGAAGACCCGUGGGCACUAGUUAAGGUCACAGCAUGCUGUGAGGAAAACCUCCUGUUGACACAAAAGCAGCAAUCCAGAACUUUAUGGAGCAAGCGUUGAAGUCUGCAUGCCACAGGACACAUUUCUACUGUGGAGAACAUCUGUUGUGUACUGCAUGGAAACAUCUCCUGUCCAUAGAAGCUGAUGGCCUAUUAGCUGGGGCAGGAAGGAAUAGGAGGUGGAGUUCCAGCAGGGAGGACUAGAAUAAAUGGGUUGUUUGAGUUACAAGCUUUUAA